AUUGAACGCUGGCGGCAUGCUUUACACAUGCAAGUCGAACGGUAACAGGGUGCUUGCACCGCUGACGAGUGGCGAACGGGUGAGUAAUGCGUCGGAACGUGCCGAGUAGUGGGGGAUAACGCAGCGAAAGUUGUGCUAAUACCGCAUACGUACUGAGGUAGAAAGUGGGGGACCUUCGGGCCUACCGCUAUCCGAGCGGCCGACGUCUGAUUAGCUAGUAGGUGAGGUAAAGGCUCACCUAGGCGACGAUCAGUAGCGGGUCUGAGAGGAUGAUCCGCCACACUGGGACUGAGACACGGCCCAGACUCCUACGGGAGGCGGCAGUGGGGAAUUUUGGACAAUGGGCGAAAGCCUGAUCCAGCCAUGCCGCGUGUCUGAAGAAGGCCUUCGGGUUGUAAAGGACUUUUGUCAGGGAGGAAAUCCCUAGUGCUAAUAACACUGGGGGAUGACAGUACCUGAAGAAUAAGCACCGGCUAACUACGUGCCAGCCGCCGCGGUAA
rnacentral:rRNA from 1 species